UAGCUCAGUUGGUAGAGCAGUAGACUCUUAAUCUAUUUGUCCAGGGUUCGAGUCCCUGAAG
rnacentral:tRNA from 1 species